rnacentral:lncRNA from 1 species
CCACAAUAUGCCAAUAUCUUCAUGGCCGACCUGGAACAACGCUUCCUCAGCUCUCGUCCACUCACACCCCUUCUCUAUCUACGCUACAUUGAUGACAUCUUCAUCAUCUGGACCCAUGGGAAGGAGACUCUGGAAAAAUUCCACCAUGAUUUCAACAGCUUCCACCCCACCAUCAACCUCAGCCUGGACCAAUCUACACGGGAGGUCCACUUUCUUGACACCACGGUGCAAAUAAGUGAUGGUCACAUUAACACCACCCUAUAUCGAAAACCCACCGACCGCUAUGCCUACCUUCAUGCCUCCAGCUUCCAUCCCGGGCACAUCACACGAUCCAUUGUCUACAGCCAAGCACUGAGGUACAACCGCAUCUGCUCUAACCCCUCAGACAGAGACCAACACCUACAAAAUCUCCACCAAGCAUUCUCAAAACUACAAUACCCGCAUGAGGAAAUAAGGAAACAGAUCAACAGAGCCAGACGUGUACCCAGAAGCCUCCUACUGCAAGACAAACCCAAGAGAGAAACCAACAGGACUCCACUGGCCAUCACAUACAGCCCCCAGCUAAAACCCCUCCAACGCAUCAUCAAGGAUCUACAACCCAUCCUGGACAAUGAUCCCACACUUUCACAGGCCUUGGGUGGCAGGCCAAUCCUUGCCCACAGACAACCUGCCAACCUGAAACAUAUUCUCACCAGUAACUGCACACCGCACCAUAAUAACUCUAGCUCAGGAACCAAUCCAUGCAACAAACCUCGAUGCCAACUCUGCCCACAUAUCUACACCAGCGACACCAUCACAGGACCUAACCAGAUCAGCCACACCAUCACUGGUUCAUUCACCUGCACAUCCACCAAUGUAAUAUACGCCAUCAUAUGCCAGCAAUGCCCCUCUGCUAUGUACAUCGGCCAAACUGGACAGUCUCUACGGAAAAGGAUAAAUGGACACAAAUCAGACAUUAGGAAUGGCAAUAUACAAAAACCUGUAGGAGAGCACUUCAACCUCCCUGGCCACACUAUAGCAGACCUUAAGGUGGCCAUCCUGCAGCAAAAAAACUUCAGGACCAGACUUCAAAGAGAAACUGCUGAGCUUCAGUUCAUCUGCAAAUUUGACACCAUCAGCUCAGGAUUGAACAAAGACUGUGAAUGGCUUGCCAACUACAGAACCAGUUUCUCCUCUCUUGGUUUUCACACCUCAACUGCUAGAACAGGGCCUCAUCUUCCCUGAUUGAACUGACCUCGUUAUCUCUAGCUUGCUUGCUAGCAUAUAUAUACCUGCCCCUGGAUAUUUCCACUACAUGCAUCUGAGGAAGUGGGUAUUCACCCACGAAAGCUCAUGCUCCAAAACUUCUCAGUCUAUAAGGUGCCACAGGAUUCUUUGCUGCUUUUACAGAUCCAGACUAACACGGCUACCCCUCUGAUCCUGGUCAAAGAGAUGGUUCUUCCGUGGCUUGCACUUUG